rnacentral:rRNA from 1 species
ACUCCUACGGGAGGCAGCAGUGGGGAAUAUUGCACAAUGGGCGCAAGCCUGAUGCAGCCAUGCCGCGUGUAUGAAGAAGGCCUUCGGGUUGUAAAGUACUUUCAGCGGGGAGGAAGGCGAUAAGGUUAAUAACCUUGUCGAUUGACGUUACCCGCAGAAGAAGCACCGGCUAACUCCGUGCCAGCAGCCGCGGUAAUACGGAGGGUGCAAGCGUUAAUCGGAAUUACUGGGCGUAAAGCGCACGCAGGCGGUCUGUCAAGUCGGAUGUGAAAUCCCCGGGCUCAACCUGGGAACUGCAUUCGAAACUGGCAGGCUAGAGUCUUGUAGAGGGGGGUAGAAUUCCAGGUGUAGUGGUGAAAUGCGUAGAGAUCUGGAGGAAUACCGGUGGCGAAGGCGGCCCCCUGGACAAAGACUGACGCUCAGGUGCGAAAGCGUGGGGGGCAAACAGGAUUAGAAACCCUUGUAGUCCCAUG